CUCGACCAAUUGCCUGAGCGGUUCGGAUUCUUCGAAGCAACGACAUAAAGGAAUUUGGUUAGAGUUUCUAUACUUCUCUAAUUUGGUCUUCUCGGUUUUACGAAAAGCUUUUUCUGGUAUUUUCUUGGAGUUUUCGUUGGAACAAGAAAGGUGGAAUUCACCAUAAGGUUCUUGGUUUUUUAUCCGGAGAAGACAUACGGUGUAAGCUUGUACUUUUAUUUCUUCAUAUAGUGGAAUACAUCUCUCUCGCUCUCCCCGUGGACGUAGGCAAUUGCCGAACCACGUAAAUCUUGGUUUCUUCUUUCUGCAUUUAUUUCUUUUACUGUUCGGUCGAUUUUCUCUAUUUUUCGUGCAUCUUUGUUGGUAGCACAUGACGGACGAUCCAUCCGGUUCCCAACAAGUGGUAUCAGAGCGUAAGGUUCGUGCUACAUCAGAGAUGUCGAAAGUCUCGUCUUCUAAGUUUGAGGUGGAGAAAUUUGACGGUAAAGGAAACUUCGGUCUCUGGCAGAGAAGAGUGAAAGCCCUUCUGGUUCAACAGGGCCUUCAUAAGGCGUUGCUCGGAAAAUCGAAAAAGCCGACAUCGAUGAGCGACGAAGAUUGGGAGGAUAUUGAUCUGCGAGCGGUGAAUACAAUUAUAUUGUGUCUAGCAGAUGAGGUGAUGUAUAACGUAAUGGAUGAAGAAACUACAGUCGGCAUGUGGAACAAGCUAGAGAAGCUGUACAUGACCAAAAGCCUCUCGAACGUGCUGUACCUAAAGCAAAAAUUAUAUGGGCUACGCAUGAAGGAAGGUACGGCAAUAACGGAACACUUGAACACCUUUAAUAAAAUUAUUGCGGAUUUGCUGAGCAUUAAUGUCAAGGUUGACGAGGACGAUAAGGCGUUGAUUUUUCUUACAUCACUUCCGUCGUCCUACAAUCACUUGGUGACCACCAUACUGUACGGAAAGCAAACUCUAAAGAUGGAAGAUGUUACAUCGACACUUUUAUCUGAAGAGAUCAGGUUGCAAGCGAGUACCGAAGAAAGCAGUGCAGGUUUGGUCGUAAAUGAUACAAGUGGAGGAAGGGGACGAUCAAGAGAACGUGAUGCAGGUAAAGGAAGAUCCCGUUCCAAGUCAAAAUCGAAAAAGGUGAAGUGUUACUUCUGUAAGAAAGAGGGCCACAUGAAAAAGAACUGCGAAAAGAGGAAGGCUUGGCUGCGAAAUCAGAAUUCCUCUGCAGAUACGGCGAGCGUAGCUAGUGAUUCCGGUCAGGACGUCUUGACGGUUACAACAGAUUCUGACUCUCACGGUGACUGGAUAUUAGAUUCUGGUUGUUCUUAUCACAUGUCUCCAAACAGGUCUUUAUUUGAUACUUAUAAGUCUUGUGAAGGCAGUAGUGUUAUGAUGGGUAAUCGCACUAGCUGCAAGAUGGUCGAUAUCGGAACAGUAAAAAUAAAGAUGUUUGAUGGUGUGGUGAGGACGUUAACGGAUGUGAGACACAUUCCGGAUCUCAGGUUAAAUCUUAUAUCACUUGGUACUCUUGACUUUACUGGCUGUUCUAUUAGUAUUUCAGGUGGAGUCGUCAAGGUUAAAAAGGGUGCCAUGGUCGUCAUGAAGGGAGAGAAGAAAGGGAAUCUGUACAGGCUGAUCGGCGAGUCGGUGAUUGGAGGCGUUGCGGUAACAUCCUCAGAAGAUCAUGAUGCUGAUGAUACGGAGCUCUGGCACAUGAGACUAGCCCACAUGAGUGAAAGAGGGAUGUUGGAACUGCAUAAAAGGGGAGUACUCAAAGGUAUUAAAUCCUGUAAACUUAAUUUCUUGCAAAUUUUGUUUAUUUGGAAAACAGAAAAGGUUGAGUUUCAGGACCUCCAGUCAUAAAAGUAAAAGUAUACUUGAGUAUAUCCAUGCGGACGUGUGGGGACCGGCUCCGGUGACUUCGAAAGGUGGUGCGCGAUAUUUUAUUACAUUUAUCGAUGAUUUCUCCCGUAAGGUUUGGGUAUUCUUCAUGAAGGAAAAGUCUGAGGCAUUUAUAAAGUUCAGACAUUGGAAGAAUGAGGUGGAGAAACAAACUGGGAAGCAGGUCAAGGUUCUUCGAACGGACAAUGGUGGAGAGUUCACUUCUCGGGAGUUUAAGAAAUUCUGCAAGGAUGAAGGUAUUGUACGUCAUUACACGGUUCCAGGUACUGCACAGCAGAAAGCAGAAAGGAUGAACCGGACAUUGGCUAGAACGUGCCAGAUCCAUGAGGUUAUGUGCAGAUUUGCCAAAGGAGUUCUGGGCUGAAGCAGUAGAUAUGGCGUGCUAUAUUAUUAAUCGAUCUCCCGCCACAGCAAUCGAACUCAAAACACCGGAGGAAGUAUGGACAGGUAAACUUGCAGAUUAUUCCUCCUUACGGGUCUUUGGUUGUCCUGCUUAUGUCCAUAUCCAGGAAAAUCAGCGCACAAAAUUAGAUUCGAAGUCAAAGCCCUGCAUAUUUCUUGGGUACGAUAUGGGUGUUAAAGGAUACAAGCUGUGGGACCCUAUCGCCAAGAAGAAGGUGAUUAGCAGGGACGUAGUUUUUGACGAAAAAGCUAUGCCGCGUAAGGAUCAUCAGGAGGCUCAACGUGAAGAACAGUCAAAAACUACGCAGAUCCAGGUGGAGCGGCAAGAGGGUGUAGAUGAUCAGGUGGAGCAGCCCCACUAUCAGGAUGAUCAUGGUACACAAAGCGAUCCGAUUGAAAGCACUUCGGAGGAGCCCUACUCUAUCGCUAAAGGAAGGGAAAGGAGACAGAUUCGUCCACCUUUACGGUACAGGUUGGAGGAUAUAGUAUCUUAUGCCUUAUUAAUUACAUCAGAUGAUCCCACUUCCUAUCAGGAGGCGAUGCAGGACAGAGAUAGUGGCAGAUGGAUGGCGGCUAUGACGGAAGAGAUGGAGUCUCUACAGAAGAAUCAGACAUGGGAUCUGAUUCCAUUACCGGAAGGGAAGAGAUCUAUCGGUUGCAAGUGGAUCUACAAAAAGAAGCAGGGUGCAGAUGGAGAACCAGAAAAAUUCAAGGCGCGGUUAGUAGCCAAGGGCUAUGCGCAAGUAAAGGGAGUUGAUUUCAAUGAGAUUUUCUCACCGGUGGUGAAACACGCGUCAAUUAGGAUGCUUCUAGCUAUGGUGGCUAUGUUUGAUUUAGAGCUUCAGCAGCUUGACGUUCGAACCGCAUUUCUUCAUGGGGAUCUAGUAGAAGAAAUUUAUAUGGAACAACCUCAAGGUUUUGUUCAGCCGGGGAAGGAGAAUCUGGUGUGCAAACUGAAAAGAUCUCUCUACGGGUUGAAGCAGGCACCGAGGCAGUGGUAUAAGCGGUUUGACGGGUUUAUGAUCGAGCAUGAUUAUAGCAGAAGUUUAUAUGACAGUUGUGUCUACUAUCGGAGGCUUGAAGAUGGUUCGUUUAUUCUGCUUAUGCUAUAUGUAGACGAUAUGCUUAUAGCAGCUAAGAAUCCGAAUGAAGUGCAACAAUUAAAGGAUCAGUUGAGCCGAGAAUUUGACAUGAAGGACCUAGGAGGUGCUAGAAAAAUCCUAGGUAUGGAGAUCAGACGCGACCGCAUACAGGGUAAGUUAUGGUUAUCGCAGAAGACAUAUAUACGAGCUAUUAUAAAGCAAUUUAAUAUGUCAGAGGCGAAGGCGGUCAAGACUCCAUUAGCCCAACACUUCAAACUUUCUGAGGAGAUGUGUCCCAAGACGGAUGAGGAGGUUACUUCUAUGUCAAAGAUACCAUAUGCUAGUGCAGUCGGUUGCCUGAUGUAUGCUAUGAUUUGCACUAGGCCUGAUCUUUCACAUGCAGUUAGUGUUGUCAGUCGGUAUAUGUCGAAUCCAGGAAAACAACACUGGGAGGCCGUGAAGUGGAUUUUGCGGUAUCUGAAGGGCACAUCAGAUAAAGGUAUUCUCUACUCGAAAGAUUCUGGUAAUGAUGAAGUGAAGGGGUUUGUAGAUUCCGACUAUGCGGGUGAUUUGGACAAGCGUAGGUCUAUUACAGGUUACGUCUUUCUGCUGGGCGGCGGACCUAUCAGUUGGAAAUCUACGUUGCAGCGCACUGUAGCCUUGUCAACUACAGAAGCGGAGUAUAUGGCGGCAAUUGAAGCAGCUAAGGAAGCAGUCUGGCUUAGAGGCUUGGUUUGUGAACUCGGAAUCAUGCAGGAAAAAAUGAUUAUCGGUUGUGAUAGUCAGAGUGCUAUAUGUCUCGCCAGGAAUCCAGUGUACCAUGGGAGGACAAAGCACAUAGAAAUCAAGUAUCACAAAUUACGGGAGCUCACUAAUGAGGAUGAUAGAGAAAUUCAGCUUAUAAAGGUUUCCACAAAGGAUAAUGUAGCUGACAUCAUGACAAAGCCGGUAACAGCGGAUAAGUUUAGACACUGUCUAAACUUGGCUAAUUUGCAUGACUGCUAAUGACUGGAUGCCUCAGGGAGAGGGGGCGAUAAGAUGAGAGAGAGUAAUGAAAUACAAAAGAAGUCAAGGUGGAGAAUGUUAAGAAUAUGCCUUCUUUUAUUGGUUUGGUCCAUGCAUCGGGUCUACGGAAUAUAUUAAUUUAAAAUUGAAUUAGACUUUGAUUUGGCUCUGUAGUAAUUUGGAUGGACUAGGAAUUGAAUUAGGAUUUUCAAUUCCUAAUUUGACUUGUUGACCGGCCAAUCCACGCAUAUAUAUAUAUAUAUAUGCGUGCCCUCUUCAAACUGUACGGUAAGUCAUGGGAAAAAUUAAUUAGCUUUGUUGGCUAAUUAAUUCAUGGUUCCGGGAGCCGUACGACGGUAGCAAGAGAAGGAGAUGCGCGGUAGCACGCAUGCGACGGAUUGACGUUGGCGGCGGAGCGGUGGUUCUCGACCAAUUGUCUGAGCGGUUCGGAUUCUUCGAAGCAACGACAUAAAGGAAUUUGGUUAGAGUUUCUAUACUUCUCAAAUUUGGUCUUCUCGGUUUUACGAAAAGCUUUUUCGGUAUUUUCUUGGAGUUUUCGUUGGAACAAGAAAGGUGGGAUUCACCAUAAGGUUCUUGGUUUUUUAUCCGGAGAAGACAUAAGGUGUAAGCUUGUACUUUUAUUUCUUCAUAUAGUGGAAUACAUCUCUCUCGCUCUCCCCGUGGACGUAGGCAAUUGCCGAACCACGUAAAUCUUGGUUUCUUCUUUCUGUAUUUAUUUCUUUUGCCGUUCGGUCGAUUUUCUCUAUUGGUUCGUGCAUCUUUGUUGGUAGCACAUGACGGACGAUCCAUCCGGUUCCCAACAGUCUCGAUAAGGGGAUAUCAUUGAGAAAUAAAUCCAGCUCAGCUCAAUAAAAAUUCACAGCCCCAUGAAUAUGACAGAACUAAUUGAGAAAUAAAUCUAGCUCGGCCCAACAAAAAUUCAC
rnacentral:lncRNA from 1 species